AUGACCGCGGCUGGGCGGCGGCAUUCGUUGCAGGCCCUCGCCGACGGACUCCUCGUUGCCGCCGGCGUCUCGAAUGUCGCCGAGGCUCUGCGGAAAGCCGCGAGGGUGAUGGGGGACCGGCAGGCUAGGAACCCCGCAUGCAGCGUCCUCCUUCUCUCCGACGGCCUAGGCGGCCGUGAAGCCGCGAGCGCGACGUGGCAAUGCGGUCGGCCAGGCCUGAACUACGACGCGCUCGUCCCGCGCUCCAUCUGCCCGGGCUCAGGCCACCACGUGCGGAUCCACGCCUUCGGCUUGGGUGCGUACCAGGACUCCGCGGUGUUGCGCGGCGUCGCCGAGAUGUCCGGCGGCACGUUCUCCUCCAUCGACAGGCUGGGAGAGAUCCCGGACGUGUUACGCCGGUACAUCGCUGGCCUGCGCACUGUGGUGGCGCAGGAGACACGGCUGAGCUUCCAGUGCGCGGAGCAAGGCGUGCUGCUCACCUCGGUUGCGUCCGGCGGCUACGCGAGCACUGUGGACGGUGACAAGCAUGGCGGGUUCGUCGCCGUCGGCGACCUUUACGCCGGAGAGGAGAGGGACAUUCUGGUCACUCUACACGUCCCAACCACGCAUGGAAAAGACUCUGCUCUGCUCGUGCCGAGCUGCACCUACCGGGUCGCAGUCACCAUGAAGACUGUCUGCAUAGAAGGUGACACGGUGAUCGUCCGUCGCCCUCGACAUACGGUGAACCCAUCUCCUAUGACAGUCGAGGUCAAGCGUGAGCGGCACCGCAUCAGCGCCAUGGAGGGCAUGGCCAUGUCUUGGGACGCCGCGGAGUUAGGCGACUUCGUGCACGCUGCAAUGAUCUUGGAAGGGCACCGUGUGGAGCUUGAGUCGUGGGCAUCGCUGUCGGCGGAUGCACGGACUCUGGCGCUGGUCGCUGAGCUGAGGGAGUUGCAGGACAGGCUGGGGACAAGGCAACGGUACAAGCGUUUCGGCCGCGCGUACAUAUUGGUCGCCCUGAAUGCUCACUCAUGGCGGUGCGCCACGGCAAGCGGCGGCGACUCGGGGGUUCUCGCCGGUCUCACCCACACCUACCAGGCGCCCUAG
rnacentral:rRNA from 1 species